rnacentral:ncRNA from 1 species
UAUUCUCAGGGCGGGGCGCAAUUCCCCACCGGCGGUAAAUCAGCUUAGGCUGAAAGCCCGCGAGCGCUUCAUGAUGAUGAAAAUUCGCCAUGAAGGUCAGCAGAUCCGGUGUAAUUCCGGGGCCGACGGUUACAGUCCGGAUGGGAGAGGGUA